rnacentral:lncRNA from 1 species
CAAGAAUUAAAUUUUUGUUAAAAUCAAACUUAAUUUAAUUUUGGACCCUUUGGACCUUAAUGUAGACCAAUUUGAAAACAGGACCAAAUAUUAAGAUUCUAAAUACACGGUUAGAUUCGGCAUAUCAAGGAACCCCAAUAAUUCAAUUUUUGAUGAAAUCAAACAAAGUUUAAUUUUGGACCCUUUUGGUCCCUAAUUCCUAAACUGAAUGGACCAAAACUCCCAAAAUCAAUCCCAACCUUCCUUUUGUGGUUAUUAACCUUGUGUUUAAUUGUCAUAGAUUUCAAUUCACUUAUAAUAAAGUUAUUGAGGGAAAACCAAGAAAAAUG